ensembl:lncRNA
CAGUAAUGAUACCAUUGAUUUCAAACAAAAAGCAAGCUGUGACAAACGUCUUGAGAGUUACUCACAUAAGUGAAAGCUACAAGCAUUUGAAUCUAUGCUGGGAGAGACAACUAAAGUACAAAAAAAUGGGUACCUCUGAUGAAGUUUAUAACCUAUAAUGUGAAAGAAAAACGAGGGGACUGUCAUGGAUGUUGCACGUUGCGGGCACAAAUUCUGGUACCCUUUUGUUCAUCAGCACCUUUCAUAGAAUCACAGAAUUACUCAGGUUGGAAAGGACCUCAAAGAUCAUCAAGUCCAACUGCAGCCUAACCAUAGUACCCUAACUCUAACAACCCUCUACUAAAUCCUAUCUCUGAGCACCACAUCCAAACGGCUCUUAAACACAUCCAGGGACGGUGAGUCACCACCUCCCUGGGGAGCCUAUUCCAGAGCUUAACAACCCUUUCUGUAAAGAAGUGUUUCCUAACAUCCAACCUAAACUUACCUUGGCGCAACUUGAGGCCAUUUUCCCUUGUCCUGUCACCUGUCACCAGUGAGAAGAGACCAACCCCGCUCUUGCUAAGCGGCCCCAGCACUGAGCCUUGGGGGACCCUGCUCAUGACCAGCUGCCAACUGGAUUCAACUCCACUGACCACGACUCUUUGGGCCUGGCCAUCCAGCCAGUGCUUCACCCAGCAGAGCAUACACCCAUCCAGACCACGGGCAGCGAGCUUCUCCACAAGAAUGUUAUGGGGGACAACCAUAACAUAUGGAGAAACCAUCCUGAAAUUUGUGACCUUUGUGCAUGGGCUUCAUGGUUUUUUGUUCCAGUAAUAACUUACAUGAGUUAUUUUGAGUACUUUGGACCAACACAGUAAAAUAUGCUUUUUAUCAAUUCAGAAUUUGAAUAUGAUUCUCAUUGCUUUGGGAAAUCUGCUGGUGCCUACUAACACUGUAAUGUGCUUUUUUGUUUGUUUGUUUGUUUUUCUACAAGAAUGUCUUUUAGAAUGACAAACCAAAGAACCAGGAGCACAGUACAGUUUCUUUGCAUACCAAAGUGCACUUGCAGACUAUUUUUUCCCUGCCAAAUACACUCAUAAUUAUCCUUUUCCAUAGUUAUUUUAACUGUACCUGUUUUUACGCAUGUCAUUACUAACAUAUGCUUUACUACUGAGAUCUCUAUUUUUUUGUGUGUGUGAAGUCAGAGCUAAAUGAACUGGUAGUUUUGGGUGUCAGUGGUAAAGAAUUCUAACCUCCACAAUGAAAUUCUUUGAAAAUGUUCUGUCAAAAUCACAUUUGCAAUUAUGACCUACAUGUAAAGAUCAGUGAUCAGGAAAGUAGGGUUAUCUACAUUUCCUGUUCAAGAUAGUAGUUUGAUUUGCAGUACUCUUUACUAAGAGACAUUCACACAGACAUUUUUGAAAUUUUUCUUUUCUUCUGUGAGAAAAUUUACUAAAAAUAUCAUCUGCAGGAUAUUGCUUUUCUUGGCUAUCAUAGCUUUCUAGGAAAAACAGUACUGGAGAAGGUCACUGUAAGAUGCCAAGGGGCUGAACAAAAAUGUUGAACUAUCAUUUAUUUUUCAGUAUAUGAAUUAACUGUGCAGUGUUAGUGUUUGUACGUAUAUAUGCAUACAUUUAUAUAUGUAUAUGUGUAGAGCUCGCAUGGCAAAGUUUUGGUAGCAGGGGUGCUGCAGGGAUGGCCUCUGUGAGCAAAGCCUGGCACUGGUCCAUAUCAGAUCAGAAGCCAGCUCCAACUGCUCCAAAAGCGACCCUCCACUGCCAGAGCUGAACCAUGAGUGAUACUGGGAGUGCUCUGGGAGAGCAGAUUUAAGGAAGGGAAACACUGGUCCAACAGCAGCUGGGAAAGAGGGGUAAGAAAUGGGAGAGAAAUAGCCCUACAGCCCCCAAGGUCAGUGCAGAAGGAUGGCAGAAGGGGCUCUAGGCACAGAGCAGAAGCUACCUGCAGCCCAGGAGAGGCCUAUGGUGGAGUAGGUUGUUCUCCUGCAGCCCCUGGGCAUCUUGCAUAGAGCUCCAUGUGCCGCCUGCAGAGAAACCCCAUGGAGUUUAGCUGGCCAUCAGUGUGAAACUACCACAGCACAAAUACAGAAAAAAUGCUCAGUAAAUCCUCAAAAACUUCAUACAAAUAUAAGGAACUUCCAUUUAUUUGAAGAAGCUCACAGAUAUUUUGAAGUCUUGUUCUCACUUCUAGACUAACUGGAUGAAAGCACUUCUGUGUCCUGAAAUGUUUGGACAUCAUUAAAUGCAAUAGUAAAUACCCUUUGUGAUGACUUAGUUCACCACUUCAUUGUGUUUUUUUGUUUGUUUUUUUUUCUUCUGGUGUGCAAUUAGUUUCUUGGAGACAGCAGGAUGAAAUGUUUAUUUUGAAGAAUACAUAUUAGAAGUCAUGCCAGUAACAGUUUAUAAUACACUGCAAUGUCAGGCAGAAAAAAAACAACAAAAGCCUUAUAUUAAAGUUGAUGGUGACAGACUUUUGAGUGUUUUCAGGGAGUCUGGUUUUUCAUGUACAAUUCUGCCUGUAUUUCUCCUCUCUGAGCUAUUUAUUUUUUCCCCUACUAUGUGGUCUAAAAAGAUAUCUUAUGAAUCCUAACUUAUCCCUGCUGAGUUCUGCAGUCUCCUCAGCUUUGACCACAGGUGUGUUCCAGCGUUUCAUUAUUUGUGGAGUAGAUAAUAGAGGAAUUGAUGUGUUUGGGACAUUUUUCUGUCCAGAUAGGUUAUCUUUUCAGCAGUUAUUCUUGCAACUCAAUAAUCAUUAUUGUUCCCUAUGUUUUUCUUAGAAAAGCUUACACCUAACAUUUCAUACAUUGUCAGUUUGAUAAUCCUUAAUCAGCUGAAACUGCUUAUAAAAAAGGUACUCAAAUAUUUCAACGAAAAGGAUGACCUUUUAUAAAUCCCACCAUGUAAGUACUGUCUAAGACCUAGUCCCAGAGAACAUAAAGCAUCAAUUUCAAUCAUUAAAUGUUACCUUUUAGCUAGGGUACACAAGUUAUUCAUUUCAAAUGUCAUAAUAUCACCCAUUUCAGAAUAAGUCUUAAAUGCAGAUGUUUGGGGUUUUUUUUUCUUGGUAAUCUCUCUCAGAAAUCAUUUUCUGCCAGUAAUGGUGACAGUAAAUUAGUGGAACAAGAUUUUGCAUUUUUAAAACUAAGAGAUUAUUCAGACUAGAAUUUAGAGGUUGGUUUUCAGCUCCUGGCAAGGGAGGAAUAACACAGAUGCCUUAGCUAUUGGUAGAUGUAUAUCCAAAGCAACUAGAAAUAUGCACUGGAUUCAUUUUAAACACAGCGAUACAUUUGUUGUACCAGAGCCAAGGUGUCCUAUAUUAUUAUAAAUUACCAGUACACUGUGUUAAACUUACAAGAUAUUCUAGUGGCCUUAAAGAAAAUGAUGAUGCAAAUGUACCUUUAGUAGAAGUUUUGUGCCCUCACUGCAAAAAAGACAUUGAGGCCCUGAAGCAUGUCCAGGGAACAGCAACGUAGCUGUGAUGGUUCUGGAGCACAAGUCUUACAGAAAGAGACUGAGGGAACUGGGAUUGUUCAAUUUGGAGAAGAGGAGGCUCAGGGGAGACCUUAUCACUCUCUACAACUCCCUGAAAAGAGGCUUUGAUGAGGUGGGAGUCAACCUCUUCUCCUGAAUAACAGCAUUAGGACAAGAUGUAAUGGCCUUAAGUUGCACAAAAGGAGGUUCGGUUUGGAUAUUAGCAUGAAUUUCUUGUCAGAAAGUAGUGAGGCAUUGGAAUCAGUCGCUCAAGGAAAUGAUGGAGUCACUGUUCCUAGUAGUAUUUAAGGUAAGGUUAGAGGUAGUACUUAGGGACAUGGUUUAUUGGGCAAUAUUGGUGAUAGGUUCGUGGUUGGACUAGAUAAUCUUAGAGGUCUUUUCCAACCUCAAUGAUUCUAUGAUUCUAAGAGAUAAAUAUAUUAACCAAGAUAGUUUCUCAAAUAUGAAUAUUGCAUAAACUAGGGGAUCUUUAACUGUGCUAUAAUCACAUCAGUGGCUUUAAUACAGAACUUGUAAAAUUGCUUGAUCAAUGGCUAAAAGAUUUUAAGGAAAGCUGUGUGUUUUUUCCUUGUGUGUACUGACCAGUUAGAACUGUGGUGCUUUGUGUACUCUAGGUGAUGUUCUAGCACAAUUUAGCACUACCUUACCUUAUUUGUAAAUUCCUGUUAAAACAAUCCAAAAGACAAACACAGCAGUCAUUGUUUACAGAUGUAUGAAGAUGUUAACAUAAUAAUAAUUUUAACUUAUCAUGCCUUACAGAAAUGCCAGUGGUUUUUUGUUGUUAUUUGUUUUGUUUUGUUUUAAUAGGUGAAAACAUAUUUUAACUAAGGGAUAGUUUAGGCAUGGGGUUAAAGAGAGUAAAUUGUUCAUGUAAGAGUACACAUUCAAAAUCAAUAGAAAGUCUAUCAGAGGAAUACCUUUUUGGACAAGCAACUACAAAAUGGGAUAGCUGUGUAUGAUUUCUGUGAAUAUGAAUGAGUAAUCUCCAUCUUUCUUUAUUCCAGUUCCAUGCUCCUACUCCCUGGAAAAAUUAUUGAUGCCUAGACUCGCUAUCAAGAGUAGUUUAUAGUUCAGUAACCCAGUGGGAGGAAACAAUAGCAAAAUAGAAAGGAUCUAUAAUAAUCACUGAAAUUCUUGAUGUCCUGAUUUCGGCUGGGGCAGAGUUAAUUUUCUUCCUACUGUCUAGUAUGGUGGUGUGUUUUGGAUGUAGGUUGAGAAUAAUGGUUUGUGCUUGUGAAUUAAAAUCAUUUGUUUAUAAUGAGUAGAUGGUGCUAUUUGUACUUUUUCCUCCAACUUCUUUGGAAAGUUUUCUUGUUCAAAACCAUAACACUUCUGUAAAGGAAUAACAGUGGUAAGGUUCAUGCUAUGUUAUUCACAGAAAUCCCAAAUUUACUGGCACUCUGCCCCUCCUGCUUUUAAAAUUAAGAUACAUCAUUAGAAUUACAUCAUCAGCAAAACUAUUUUAGGUAGUGUCCUUUUAGUUGGAUAGUCAGUUGGGCAGUUUGGAAACUGAGGAUUGGUAGGAAAAUUUCCAGUCUCUAUCAUUAAUGAGCAAGAAACUCUACAGGAAAAAAGAUAAUAGAGAGAAAAAACAAAAGGAGGCAGUUUUGUUGUGCUUUGUCAUCUUGCAGUCAUCUUGCUGACUUGAAAGAGUCUCAUUAAGGUAGCACAUUAGCCAUCAACUAAGGACAAUGCUUUUAUUAAUCAAACAUCACUCUUGGAGGCUGCUAAGCCACUUAAAGUUAUCUUGAUAGCCAUUACUUUCCAACAGCUUACAAAGAAAUCUAUGUCUGGUGAAUAUAUGCUUCACUUGUUCUAGAAAAGUCAGUAUGAAAAUGAUCCUGAAUUAAAUCUGCAUGGACCUGUUGCAUUGUCUAAAUAUUCAAGAUAGUAUUAGAUAACCUGAAAUAGUUAUCAAGUAUGGGUUACCAGCUAACAUGCAAUCAUCUGUUGCCUCUUCCCCUGUCAAUACUGUGAAUUUUACCCACUUUAAACAUCUGCUUGUGAUUUCAUUUUCUGAGUUACAUUUUUGAUUUGUGAAAUUUAACACUGUAAAAACUCGCAGGCAGAAUAUUUUUCAGAAUAGGUAUGCAGUUCUGGAUCAACAUAUUCAAAAUGACUCAUUCUUAUCCCAUUUUAGAUUGCUUACUUGAAAUCUUACUAAAUCAACACGUGGAAUUGUCCAAAUCCUAUUUCUCUCAACUGGAGUAAAAUGUCUCAAAACGUUUUACCCAUUGAUACAUGUGUGUCCAAUAACUGCUGAGAAAAUAUUCUAAAAUGACUGCAAGUUGAAAAUAGCAUGUUUCAGUAUGGUAUAUAUGAGGUUCAACUUUCUCAGAUUAUCAAGAAGCAAUUACAUUACAACAUAUACAUAGACCACUCUGAUGUACAUUUAAUGCAACAGAUCUUUCUACAUAAGUAGACUACAUGAGGAAAAAAAAAACCCAGGUACUAGAGGCUCUUCAAACUGGGACAGAAAAGCAGUAAAACGAGAACCAAUUGAUAGCCCUUAAAGAUACUCGAAGGAGAAGUUUGGUAGUGGUUUUUGUUGGUUUGUUUGGUUGGUUGGUUGGUUUGGGUGUUCAUAAAGAAAGUUAACUAAAUAAUGGAACAAACAACCAAGGAAAAAUUUAAGUUCUUCCAAUUCUGAAGUCCUUAAAUCUUCUGAAAGGCAAGUUUUAGCAAACACAGGCUUUUUUGCUUUACUUCAAUGUAAGUAUGAAAUUUGAUUGCUCAUGUUUGAUAUGAGGUCAACCACUCGCUAAUUGACUUUCUGGCCUUAAAGUCAGUUUAUCUAUGAAUAAUUUAACAAUACAUCUUUGCUUAUUUUGUAUGUUUGCCAACAUUUUGUGAAUAAUUACUUUCUCCCUGCAUAUUGCAUUGGUUUCUGCAAUUAUAUUAUUGUAUCAGUGAAAACACAAGCAAUACAUUCUUCAGAUCUUUUCUUUAUUUGUAAAUGGGGCAUGUUUUGAAUGAAAGUACUAUCCAAAUUAAGUUUUUUUUUUUUUUAAUCCAGUUUUAAUUCUUUUAUUUUGAAUGUUUGAAAUGAAUAAAAGCCAUUACUUCAAAAGUACUCAACAAAUUUCUUGAUCUAUAUAUUGCAUCUUUUAUUUCAGUAGUAUUAUAUUUCAAACAAGCAAUACAUUUUGAGCAAAACAGUUAGAUGCCUGUCUACAGAAAUAUGACUACUCUGAAGGCAGAUCACUCGGUGUAUAUUGUAUAUGCACUUAUCUUAUUGGGCAGAUUUAUUUCCUUGACUGACUGACUGCUAAGUAAAGCCAUGAAGCAAGACUGGUUUCAAAUAUAACAGAAAGUUAAAUAAAUCUUGUUCAUCAAAUAAAAGCUUUUCCAGAUGUACUGAAAUACUAAGUGUGGAAAAUUCUGUAGUAAAUGAUUCACAGAUAGAUUUUGCUUAUUAUCAGAAAUAAUAAGGAUCUUAAAAAUGAGACUUUUUGCUAUACUUAUAUAAUGAUAUACUGUUAAAGAGGUCAGUCAGUGUCCUUCAGUGUAUCUUCCACA